UACGAAGGGGGCUAGCGUUGUUCGGAAUUACUGGGCGUAAAGGGCGCGUAAGCGGCUUCGCUAGUCGGGCGUGAAAUGCCUGGGCUUAACCCGGGAAUUGCGUUCGAUACUUCGAGGCUAGAGUGUGGGAGAGGUUGGUGGAAUUCCCAGUGUAGAGGUGAAAUUCGUAGAUAUUGGGAAGAACACCGGUGGCGAAGGCGGCCGACUGGACCACAACUGACGCUGAGGCGCGAAAGCGUGGGGAGCAAACAGG
rnacentral:rRNA from 1 species